CCGGGACAUUCUAGCGGCCUGCGUGUCUCUUAGGGAGGUGAGUGACUGGGAUAUCUCUCCACCUCUUUUCUUUUAUGGCCUGCUCGUCAGGUCAGCGAGACGCGCACCUUGGUCAUUGUUUUAGAAGCCGGCGGCCAGCGGCGGAGGGCGGCAUGGCGGCGCCAGACACCCGCUCUCCGGAGCCCCUGCUUUGAGGCUUAACAUUUGCUGAAAUACUCUAAAUUUAUGAACCUUUUCAAGAAAAUCUUCAGUUUCCAUCCCCCUUUUUAAAAGUGGCCAAAAAGUGAUGUUCUGGCCAGAUACAAAACAACAUGCAUUAACGCCUCCUGUAUCCCCAACUACCAUCCAUGAUAAAGGAUUCUCAGAAAGCAGAAGAAACAGCAGAAUGCUGGACACAAUGGCGCAAACCUGUAAUCUGAGCACUUGGGAGGCUGAGGCAGGAGGUUUGCCAUGA
rnacentral:lncRNA from 1 species